GAUUUAUCGCCGAAAGAUCGGCCCGCGUCUGAUUAGCUAGUUGGUGAGGUAACGGCUCACCAAGGCGACGAUCAGUAGCUGGUCUGAGAGGAUGAUCAGCCACAUUGGGACUGAGACACGGCCCAAACUCCUACGGGAGGCAGCAGUGGGGAAUAUUGGACAAUGGGCGCAAGCCUGAUCCAGCCAUGCCGCGUGAGUGAUGAAGGCCCUAGGGUUGUAAAGCUCUUUUGUGCGGGAAGAUAAUGACGGUACUGCAAGAAUAAGCCCCGGCUAACUUCGUGCCAGCAGCCGCGGUAAUACGAAGGGGGCUAGCGUUGCUCGGAAUCACUGGGCGUAAAGGGUGCGUAGGCGGGUCUUUAAGUCAGGGGUGAAAUCCUGGAGCUCAACUCCAGAACUGCCUUUGAUACUGAGGAUCUUGAGUUCGGGAGAGGUGAGUGGAACUGCGAGUGUAGAGGUGAAAUUCGUAGAUAUUCGCAAGAACACCAGUGGCGAAGGCGGCUCACUGGCCCGA
rnacentral:rRNA from 1 species